rnacentral:rRNA from 1 species
CCAAACCUGGUUGAUCCUGCCAGUAGUCAUAUGCUUGUCCAAAAGAUUAAGCCAUGCAUGUCCAAGUAUAAAUCUUUGUACGGUGAAACUGCGAAUGGCUCAUUACAUCAGCGAUAAUUUAUUUGAUGGUACUUACUACAUGGAUAACCGUGGUAAUUCUAGAGCUAAUACAUGCAAAGGGCCCGACGCAAGAAG